rnacentral:rRNA from 1 species
GACGAACGCUGGCGGCGUGCUUAACACAUGCAAGUCGAACGAAGAGCGACGGAAGCUUGCUUCUAUCAAUCUUAGUGGCGAACGGGUGAGUAACGCGUAAUCAACCUGCCCUUCAGAGGGGGACAACAGUUGGAAACGACUGCUAAUACCGCAUACGAUCUAACCUCGGCAUCGAGGAUAGAUGAAAGGUGGCCUCUACAUGUAAGCUAUCACUGAAGGAGGGGAUUGCGUCUGAUUAGCUAGUUGGAGGGGUAACGGCCCACCAAGGCGAUGAUCAGUAGCCGGUCUGAGAGGAUGAACGGCCACAUUGGGACUGAGACACGGCCCAGACUCCUACGGGAGGCAGCAGUGGGGAAUCUUCCGCAAUGGACGAAAGUCUGACGGAGCAACGCCGCGGGAGUGAUGACGGCCUUCGGGUUGUAAAGCUCUGUUAAUCGGGACGAAAGGCCUUCUUGCGAAUAGUGAGAAGGAUUGACGGUACCGGAAUAGAAAGCCACGGCUAACUACGUG